rnacentral:rRNA from 1 species
UGUCGCGCCGGGUUGCCCCCAGCGGGCUCCCGGGACCACGCGCCCGCCGGAGACCACAAACUCUUGAUUUUGCGAAAGCAGUAUUCUUCUGAGUGGCCGAAAGGCAAAAAACAAAUGAAUCAAAACUUUCAACAACGGAUCUCUUGGUUCUGGCAUCGAUGAAGAACGCAGCGAAAUGCGAUAAGUAAUGUGAAUUGCAGAAUUCAGUGAAUCAUCGAAUCUUUGAACGCACAUUGCGCCCGCCAGCAUUCUGGCGGGCAUGCCUGUUCGAGCGUCAUUUCAACCCUCGAGCUCGUCUUCAUUGACGAGAUCGGUGUUGGGACCCGGCAAAGCGGACCCAGUCCGGCGCCGGCCCCGAAAUUCAGUGGCGGCCCGUUGCGGCGACCUCUGCGUAGUAACUUAACCUCGCAGUGGAAGAGCAGCGCGGCCACGCCGUAAAAC